rnacentral:rRNA from 1 species
UACGUAGGGUGCAAGCGUUGUCCGGAAUUAUUGGGCGUAAAGAGCUCGUAGGCGGUUUGUCGCGUCUGCCGUGAAAGUCCGGGGCUCAACUCCGGAUCUGCGGUGGGUACGGGCAGACUAGAGUGAUGUAGGGGAGACUGGAAUUCCUGGUGUAGCGGUGAAAUGCGUAGAGAUCCGGAGGAACACCAGCGGCGAAGGCGGCAUCCUGGACUGGUCCUGACACUCAGGAGCGAAAGCGUGGGGAGCGAUCCGG